rnacentral:rRNA from 1 species
AUUGAACGCUGGCGGCAGGCUUAACACAUGCAAGUCGAGCGGGGAAGGGUAGCUUGCUACCUAACCUAGCGGCGGACGGGUGAGUAAUGCUUAGGAAUCUGCCUAUUAGUGGGGGACAACAUCUCGAAAGGGGUGCUAAUACCGCAUACGUCCUACGGGAGAAAGCAGGGGACCUUCGGGCCUUGCGCUAAUAGAUGAGCCUAAGUCGGAUUAGCUAGUUGGUGGGGUAAAGGCCUACCAAGGCGACGAUCUGUAGCGGGUCUGAGAGGAUGAUCCGACACACUGGGACUGAGACACGGCCCAGACUCCUACGGGAGGCAGCAGUGGGGAAUAUUGGACAAUGGGGGGAACCCUGAUCCAGCCAUGCCGCGUGUGUGAAGAAGGCCUUUUGGUUGUAAAGCACUUUAAGCGAGGAGGAGGCUACUGGUAUUAAUACUACCGGAUAGUGGACGUUACUCGCAGAAUAAGCACCGGCUAACUCUGUGCCAGCCGCCGCAGUAAUAC